AGUAGUCCCACUUAUUGGUUGAAUUUUAUUUUUAUUUUUUGUAUUAUAAAGGCUUAACAUUUUUCUUACAGUGCAGAAUUUCCUUCAGAGUUUAGUGCAUGAUUUCUUGCCUGAGAAGGGUCAUGCUUCCCCACUCAUAGUGAGUUUUCGUAUCUCUUCCUAAGAAAAAUGAAAGUCAAGCCUCAGGAGGGAUGGUCGAGAUUAAAAAUUGCCAAGCAAUCAGUGGGUCCUAAGGAAGUAAUCCACACUCGGAGCAUCGUGCACCACAGUAGUGAGGGCAGCAUUGCGUGGAGGUGGAGGAUUAGGCACAUCGUCAGUGUCCAGCAGAAGACAAAGGAGUGAGUUAACAGGACGGUCCAUAUGCUGGAAUUGCAUGUCACUAUCCAUCAAAAAUUGUAUAUGUGACAGAUGUAAUAACAUGUUGCAGCAGCUACAACAGCAGAAGGCAGUAUUACGUACAUGGAUCGUCUCAACGUUGGCUGAAAACAGGCCCUCGGAAGAUGAGAAUUAGAAGGAACUGUGUCCCACCUGCGGUCAUAUUUCCCCAAGGACAUUUUCCCCACUUCUCUCCUUUCCCAUUGGUUCCAGUUUUCCUAGGAUGAACGUGUAUUGAUUUCAUAUUUAACAAAUUAAAGCAAAAGUUAAACUUCCAGUGUUUUUGUAACCUACAGAAUGAAUAGUCAAUGUUUAAAGAAUAGGACAAAUUUACAGAAAAGGAUGGAAUGCAAUUUAAGAUGUAAAAAAAUGGGCUUCUUCUCCCUCAUAUACACAAAGUGUUCAAAACACUCUGUUAUACUUUAUAUUUUGAACAUAAGGAAAUAAAGUAAAAUAAUUUUAAA
rnacentral:lncRNA from 1 species